rnacentral:misc_RNA from 1 species
CAGAGUUCAUGCCCUCACGGGUAGAUCUCCCACCCUUGAAUAUUAUACCUUCGUUGCUUUGGCAGGCCGUGGAAACACCAUGGGCUCCGGCUGAUGCGUGCCUGCCAGAGGAAACAAAACUCUGUUUUUAGUGAUGUCUGAGUACUAUAUAAUAGUUA